UGCGUGCUCUUGCCACCACAGCGUGCUGUGGCCAAGCCCUCCCUGUGUCCUCGGCAGUGCUUGUUUGGGUCAGUCCGCUGUUUCCAUGAGAGAUGUGACAGAGGAGACCUCUUUGUGACCGCUCACUCAUGCAGAUGUGGCUGCCACGGCCAGAAGGAAAGGUGCCUGUUACAUUGGGUGUGCCCAGCUGGUCUGGGCCCCAUGCAUCCUUCUGUCAUUCCCACAUCCAUCGGGGAAUAACGCUGCAGUAACAUGAUCCACAGCAAAUAUCAGCAUUUAAACAGAACCAACCCAUCGUGAAUGAAGACUUCUGCGAAGAAUGGGAAAAUAGAGCUAAAGGGCUGCUAAGUAAACUCUUUUAUGUGUGACAUUGUGCAGGCAAUGCUUUUGGAGUGUAAAAGAGAUUUUUCAUUAUAUCAGUGUUAUUAAUUCCAUCAGCUCGAACCGGAUUGGUACAUGAGCUGGUUGUGUGUUUCCCAGGUUAAUAAAUCUGCAUAGGUUUAUUGUUCGGAAUAAAACCUAUUUUCCUCAGCAAAUAACCAUGAUCAUUUGGGGUUACAGCCAUUCCUCAGGAAAUGCUUUAUAACUAACAUUUUUAUUGGUAUCAUAGGAAAUUCAUAUGCCAAAUAACAUGGGACUAUAACUUUUAUCUGACUUUAAAACAAAAUCUGUUAUCUUUUAUGGCCAGUUUCAUUUAGUCCCACUAUCAGUUUCCAUAAAAUUCAACAAGCAUUCCUCAUUCAGGCUGGAAAAUCAAUAACAGAGUUGGUCGAAAAGUGAAAAUGUCUUUUUUUUUGCAAACAUUUUUGAGAUUUCUGAGUUGUUUCCAUUUGAAAGCCUUUGCAACCGGCUGAUUCCUGGCAGAGACAAACCCCUCUAAUGCUCCUGGUAAUGUUUGCUGCUAUACUUCUUUAAAACACAGAGGACGUUUCUGAGGAUGAGAUGGACGUUUUUCACAAUGUCAGCUUUAAUGGGUGAUUCUGGGUUUUGAAAGGUUUAUUUUCCAUGUUAAAGCCUCGAAUUAAAACCAUUUUCACCAGACUGAAGCCAUAAAACCCCACUUAAUUAUCAUAUGGGUUUAUUAAA